GUUGGGCACUCUAAGGUGACUGCCGGCUAAAAGUCGGAGGAAGUGGGGAUGACGUCAAAUCAUCAUGCCCCUUAUGACCUGGGCUACACACGUGCUACAAUGGGCGGUACAAAGGGUCGCGAACCCGCGAGGGGGAGCCAAUCCCAAAAAGCCGCUCUCAGUUCGGAUUGCAGGCUGCAACUCGCCUGCAUGAAGCCGGAAUCGCUAGUAAUCGCGGAUCAGCAUGCCGCGGUGAAUACGUUCCCGGGCCUU
rnacentral:rRNA from 1 species